rnacentral:ncRNA from 2 species
UCACGAAAAGGGCAAAACCAUUGAAAGAUGGUGACGCAAAACUAUAGGAGCUACGGGAAACUACGCUUGCCAGUUAUCGAA